rnacentral:rRNA from 1 species
GUCAGAGGUUCGAAGGCGAUCAGAUACCGCCCUAGUUCUAACCGUAAACGAUGCCAACUAGCGAUCCGUCGGUGUUAAUUCAUAUGACUCGACGGGCAGCUUUCCGGAAACGAAAGUUUUUCGGUUCCGGGGGAAGUAUGGUUGCAAAGCUGGAACUUAAAGGAAUUGACGGAAGGGCACCACCAGGAGUGGAGCCUGCGGCUUAAUUUGACUCAGCACGGGAAAACUCACCCGGCCCGGACACAGGAAGGAUUGACAGAUUAAGAGCUCUUUCUUGAUUCUGUGGGUGGUGGUGCAUGGCCGUUCUUAGUUGGUGGAGCGAUUUGUCUGGUUAAUUCCGAUAACGAACGAGACUCUAGCCUACUAAAUAGGCGUUCCGAUCACUCCAGUCGGGCGUUCUUCUUAGAGGGACAAGCGGCGUUUAGCCGCACGAGACAGAGCAAUAACAGGUCUGUGAUGCCCUUAGAUGUUCGGGGCCGCACGCGCGCUACAUUGAAGGAAUCAGCGUGUGCUUUCCCUGUCCGACAGGACUGGGUAACCCGAUGAACCUCCUUCGUGCUAGGGAUAGGAAAUUGUAAUUAUUUUCCUUGAACGAGGAAUUCCCAGUAAGCGCGAGUCAUUAGCUCGUGUUGAUUACGUCCCUGCCCUUUGUACACACCGCCCGUCGCUACUACCGAUUGAAUGAUUUAGUGAGGUCUUCGGACUGGCG